UUUAUUCUGACAUUGGGAGAUCAAAGAAAACCCAGUAGGAGAUGACCAUAUGAAUUACUUGAAGUAAUCUCUCCAGUUUGUGCCAAAUUUCGAAGGAAACAGAAGAGUGAAAGCUUCCCAUGGGUAGUUCUCUCAACUAUGCUGAAUUGUACUGUCGCAAGAACUUUGUAGAGUGCUCUGAACAUGGCUCUUCAUUGCAAAUCUUCCUAACAUUAAUCUUUGGCGUAUUUCUUGACUACAAAAGUCCAAGGCGGGUGAUCAGAUGAUCAAAGUGUUGAUCAAAGACAAUGGCGGAGUUUCAAAUUUUCACUGCACAGAAGAAAAUGAUAAACCGCUUCCAUGUGUUUACUAAGAACACUCUCUGGUUAUGCAAUCCAGAACCACUACAGAUAAAAUCCUGGAAGAUGAGCCCCCCAGGUGGGAAGGCACUCAACAAGGUACUGAGGAAGAGCAGACUUCAGCUAUUACGAUAUAUCAAGUACCGUUCACAGCGCUGGGGAAGGUACACAAUAAUGACGUCAGACACAGUCCCUGUCCCAGAUGGGGCUCACAAUCUAAGUAGGAGAGAGAUCCCCGUUUUGCAGAUGAGGAGGGCUGUUGCUGCUUCUGCUUGCUCUCAGUUUCUACUGGGAUUCUCUUUAAAAAGAUGGAUGGCUGAAGAGGGGAAGGCCUAGAUUUACCUGGAGCUGAGACCUUGGGAAUAUUAGGCCCUUGGUUUAUCCUGAUUGUGACUGACAAGUGAAGAGAAGUGAAACACCUUGAUGCCCGAUCCAGGGGAUAACUUUACAUCACACCUGGGCAACUCCCGCUUUGAGCAUAUGAGGCAAGUUUCUCCUCCGUGCCGCUGUUCUGGUUAAUACCAUUUACACUUGUUCCGAGAGUGGAAAUUCCAUUGACGUCAAGAGAAGUUCCAGAUAUGGAACCCGCAGGAAAAAAUUGGAACGUGAGUUUAAGAUGGCGUAUUUGUUCAGCUCCAUGUUGUAUACGGAUAUGUUAGUCUAACUUCACUUAGGAAGAAAUUCACUCACCUACAUUUAAACGUCUUCUGUCUCUCACCAGGGCAUUAUGAACUUUGAAGGUGAAUUAAUUCAGUUAAGAGGAAAAUAGAGUAACACUGAAUGCCUUAUGAGCAGACAUUAAUUUUUCCAAAGUAUCUCAUCUAACCACAGGAAUAUUUUUCCCUAUGAAGUCGUAUUUAAAUAUUUAUUUUAAAAUGGCAAAGUGCCUUCAUAUAAAAACACAAAAAAGUGUUUGAAUUGGCAACAUUAAAGCUAAAUAAAUGCCUAAGUAUGGCUCAGAUAUUGACAUUCAUUAUUUCUCAUGAGAAAAAAAUGUACCUUAAAAGAAGAACUGCAAAUAUUGGCUAUUUUCUUGUUGUUGCAAAUCAGAGUGAGCUUAGAAAGUCUGGGGGUAAUUCACGUGUUCAUGAACUGUAAUCUCAAAAAAGAAAAAAAAGAAAAAGUGAAACAUCUCUUGUAAAUUUUACAAAAAUGGAUGAAAACAUCCACAACUGAAGACUGAUGGGGGCUUUGUCAGGGGCAUUGGUUUAUUAUGAAUUAAUUUGAAAGAAUAAUGGCGUUCUUAAGUACCAAGCACUUAAAUAGGGGCAAAUCAAUCAGCUCAAACAGUCCUUGUCCCACAUGAGGACCACAGUCUGAGUAGAACAGGUAAUUCUCUGAGGAAUGCUGAGGAGGAAAGAGAUAAUCAGAAAAAUUUAGUGACUUUCCCAAGGUCACACAAUAUGAAUGAUAAUCUAUAAUGUGUAUCCACAAUGGACAAUCUUUGAAUAUAGCCAGCUAGGGAGUGAAGAUGCUUCUGCUAUCUUUGCUCAUUUCCCCUUUCCUCCUUCUGACUGAGAUUUGGCCGGUAUUUCUCUGCGGAGCACCGUACUAAGUGAUUGGGAGAGUAAAAAACAAUAAUAAUGUUGGUAUUUGUU